UCGAGCGGACAGAUGGGAGCUUGCUCCCUGAUGUUAGCGGCGGACGGGUGAGUAACACGUGGGUAACCUGCCUGUAAGACUGGGAUAACUCCGGGAAACCGGGGCUAAUACCGGAUGCUUGAUUGAACCGCAUGGUUCAAUUAUAAAAGGUGGCUUUUAGCUACCACUUACAGAUGGACCCGCGGCGCAUUAGCUAGUUGGUGAGGUAACGGCUCACCAAGGCAACGAUGCGUAGCCGACCUGAGAGGGUGAUCGGCCACACUGGGACUGAGACACGGCCCAGACUCCUACGGGAGGCAGCAGUAGGGAAUCUUCCGCAAUGGACGAAAGUCUGACGGAGCAACGCCGCGUGAGUGAUGAAGGUUUUCGGAUCGUAAAACUCUGUUGUUAGGGAAGAACAAGUACCGUUCGAAUAGGGCGGUACCUUGACGGUACCUAACCAGAAAGCCACGGCUAACUACGUGCCAGCAGCCGCGGUAAUACGUAGGUGGCAAGCGUUGUCCGGAAUUAUUGGGCGUAAAGCGCGCGCAGGCGGUUUCUUAAGUCUGAUGUGAAAGCCCCCGGCUCAACCGGGGAGGGUCAUUGGAAACUGGG
rnacentral:rRNA from 1 species